rnacentral:rRNA from 1 species
GAUCAUGGCUCAGGAUGAACGCUGGCGGCGUGCUUAACACAUGCAAGUCGAACGAAGCACUUUAUUACAAUUUCUUCGGAAUGACGAUUUAGUGACUGAGUGGCGGACGGGUGAGUAACGCGUGGGUAACCUGCCUUAUACAGGGGGAUAACAGUUAGAAAUGACUGCUAAUACCGCAUAAGCGCACAGGAUUGCAUGAUCUGGUGUGAAAAACUCCGGUGGUAUAAGAUGGACCCGCGUCUGAUUAGCUGGUUGGUGAGGUAACGGGCCCACCAAGGCGACGAUCAGUAGCCGACCUGAGAGGGUGACCGGCCACAUUGGGACUGAGACACGGCCCAAACUCCUACGGGAGGCAGCAGUGGGGAAUAUUGCACAAUGGGGGAAACCCUGAUGCAGCGACGCCGCGUGAGCGAAGAAGUAUUUCGGUAUGUAAAGCUCUAUCAGCAGGGAAGAAAAAAAUGACGGUACCUGACUAAGAAGCCCCGGCUAACUACGUG